UGAGCAACCUGCCCUUGACUCUGGAAUAAACAGCUGGAAACAGCUGCUAAUACCGGAUAUGACCUCCGAUGGCAUCAUCUGGAGGUGGAAAGCUCCGACGGUCAAGGAUGGGCUCGCGGCCUAUCAGCUUGUUGGUGAGGUAACGGCUCACCAAGGCUUCGACGGGUAGCCGGACUGGAGAGGGCGACCGGCCACACUGGGACUGAGAUACGGCCCAGAUCCGUACGGG
rnacentral:rRNA from 1 species